rnacentral:rRNA from 1 species
GACGAACGCUGGCGGCGUGCUUAACACAUGCAAGUCGAACGGAAAGGCCCUGCUUGCAGGGUACUCGAGUGUCGAACGGGUGAGUAACACGUUGGUGAUCUGCCCUGCACUUCGUGUUAAGCCUGGGAAACUGGGUCUCAUACCUGAUAGGAGCCCUUUUUAGUGUGAUGGUUGUAUAGUUUUUUCGGUUUAGGAUGAGCUCGCGGCCUAUCUGCUUGUUGGUGGGGUAAUGGCCUACCAAGGCGGCGACGGGUAGCCGGCCUGAGAGGGUGGAAGGCCACAUUGGGACUGAGAUACGGCCCAGACUCCUACGGGAGGCAGCAGUGGGGAAUAUUGCACAAUGGGCGCAAGCCUGAUGCAGCGACGCCGCGUGGGGGAUGACGGCCUUCGGGUUGUAAACUCCUUUCGCUAGGGACGAAGCUUUUGUGACGGUACCUAGAUAAGAAGCACCGGCUAACUACGUG